rnacentral:rRNA from 1 species
AGAGUUUGAUCAUGGCUCAGGAUGAACGCUAGCGGAAGGCUUAAUACAUGCAAGUCGAGCGGUAGGUGGCUUCGGCCAUUGAGAGCGGCGCACGGGUGAGUAACGCGUACAUGACCUGCCUGUCAGAAGGGGAUAGCCCUGGGAAACUGGGAUUAAUACCCUAUGGUAUUGAUAUUAUGAAUGAUAUCAAUUAAAGUUGAGGCGCUGACAGAUGGAUGUGCGUCUGAUUAGCUAGUUGGUAGGGUAACGGCCUACCAAGGCGACGAUCAGUAGGGGGCGUGAGAGCGUGGUCCCCCACACGGGUACUGAGACACGGACCCGACUCCUACGGGAGGCAGCAGUAAGGAAUAUUGGUCAAUGCCCGCAAGGGUGAACCAGCCAUUCCGCGUGGAGGAUGAAGGCCCUAUGGGUUGUAAACUUCUUUUAGAUGGGAAGAAAAUGCUAGAUGUAUCUGGUACUGACGGUACCAUCAGAAUAAGCACCGGCUAACUCCGUG